CAGGUUUACCUGUGUGACUGCGUACCUUUUGUAUAAUGGGUCAGCGACUUAUAUUCUGUAGCAAGGUUAACCGUAUAGGGGAGCCGGAGGGAAACCGAGUCUUAACCGGGCGUUAAGUUGCAGGGUAUAGACCCGAAACCCGGUGAUCUAGCCAUGGGCAGGUUGAAGGUUGGGUAACACUAACUGGAGGACCGAACCGACUAAUGUUGAAAAAUUAGCGGAUGACCUGUGGCUGGGGGUGAAAGGCCAAUCAAACCGGGAGAUAGCUGGUUCUCCCCGAAAGCUAUUUAGGUAGCGCCUCGUGAAUUCAUCUCCGGGGGUAGAGCACUGUUUCGGCUAGGGGGCCAUCCCGGCUUACCAACCCGAUGCAAACUGCGAAUACCGGAGAAUGUUAUCACGGGAGACACACGGCGGGUGCUAACGUCCGUCGUGAAGAGGGAAACAACCCAGACCGCCAGCUAAGGUCCCAAAGUCAUGGUUAAGUGGGAAACGAUGUGGGAAGGCCCAGACAGCCAGGAUGUUGGCUUAGAAGCAGCCAUCAUUUAAAGAAAGCGUAAUAGCUCACUGGUCGAGUCGGCCUGCGCGGAAGAUGUAACGGGGCUAAACCAUGCACCGAAGCUGCGGCAGCGAACGUAUCACCCAAGACAACUUUACGGAGUUGACGAUUGACGGAGCGAAGCGACGUCAAAGCGUUCAUUAAAGUCGAGUUGGCUUAGGGAUACGUUCGUUGGGUAGGGGAGCGUUCUGUAAGCCUGUGAAGGUGGCCUGUGAGGGUUGCUGGAGGUAUCAGAAGUGCGAAUGCUGACAUAAGUAACGAUAAAGCGGGUGAAAAGCCCGCUCGCCGGAAGACCAAGGGUUCCUGUCCAACGUUAAUCGGGGCAGGGUGAGUCGACCCCUAAGGCGAGGCCGAAAGGCGUAGUCGAUGGGAAACGGGUUAAUAUUCCCGUACUUGGUGUUACUGCGAAGGGGGGACGGAGAAGGCUAUGUUGGCCGGGCGACGGUU
rnacentral:rRNA from 1 species